GACGAACGCUGGCGGCGUGCUUAACACAUGCAAGUCGGACGGAAAGGCCCUGCUUUUGUGGGGUGCUCGAGUGGCGAACGGGUGAGUAACACGUGAGUAACCUGCCCUUGACUUUGGGAUAACUUCAGGAAACUGGGGCUAAUACCGGAUAGGAGCUCCUGCUGCAUGGUGGGGGUUGGAAAGUUUCGGCGGUUGGGGAUGGACUCGCGGCUUAUCAGCUUGUUGGUGGGGUAGUGGCUUACCAAGGCUUUGACGGGUAGCCGGCCUGAGAGGGUGACCGGCCACAUUGGGACUGAGAUACGGCCCAGACUCCUACGGGAGGCAGCAGUGGGGAAUAUUGCACAAUGGGCGGAAGCCUGAUGCAGCAACGCCGCGUGCGGGAUGGCGGCCUUCGGGUUGUAAACCGCUUUCGCCUGUGACGAAGCGUGAGUGACGGUAAUGGGUAAAGAAGCACCGGCUAACUACGUG
rnacentral:rRNA from 1 species